rnacentral:rRNA from 1 species
UACGGAGGGUGCAAGCGUUAUCCGGAUUCACUGGGUUUAAAGGGUGCGUAGGCGGGCAGGUAAGUCAGUGGUGAAAUCUCCGAGCUUAACCCGGAAACUGCCGUUGAUACUAUUUGUCUUGAAUAUUGUGGAGGUAAGCGGAAUAUGUCAUGUAGCGGUGAAAUGCUUAGAUAUGACAUAGAACACCAAUUGCGAAGGCAGCUUACUACACAAUGAUUGACACUGAGGCACGAAAGCGUGGGGAUCAAACAGG